AGUUGCGAUCAUACCAGCACUAAUGCACCGGAUCCCAUCAGAACUCCGCAGUUAAGCGUGCUUGGGCGAGAGUAGUACUAGGAUGGGUGACCCCCUGGGAAGUCCUCGUGUUGCAACCC
rnacentral:rRNA from 1 species